AGUGAACGCUGGCGGUAGGCCUAACACAUGCAAGUCGAACGGCAGCACAGUAAGAUCUUGCUCUUACGGGUGGCGAGUGGCGGACGGGUGAGGAAUACAUCGGAAUCUACUUUUUCGUGGGUGAUAACGUAGGGAAACUUACGCUAAUACCGCAUACGACCUACGGGUGAAAGCAGUGGAUCUUCGGACCUUGCGCGAUUGAAUGAGCCGAUGUCGGAUUAGCUAGUUGGCGGGGUAAAGGCCCACCAAGGCGACGAUCCGUAGCUGGUCUGAGAGGAUGAUCAGCCACACUGGAACUGAGACACGGUCCAGACUCCUACGGGAGGCAGCAGUGGGGAAUAUUGGACAAUGGGCGCAAGCCUGAUCCAGCCAUACCGCGUGGGUGAAGAAGGCCUUCGGGUUGUAAAGCCCUUUUGUUGGGAAAGAAAAGCAGCAGGUUAAUCCCCCGCUGUUCUGACGGUACCCAAAGAAUAAGCACCGGCUAACUUCGUG
rnacentral:rRNA from 1 species